rnacentral:other from 1 species
GUUAAAGAAGUGAAUCCAUUAAAACAAGGAUUGAAAC